CUACUUUUUUUCAUUCAAAAUUUGUCUUGUCAGCUUUCGCAUGUCGCCUUAUUGUUUGGACCCACAACACCCAUCAACAUGGUUUGUGAGAUUUAAACUAUACACUUAAAAAAUUGCAACUAUCCAAACCCUACCAAACAAACAAAGAAAAAAAAAAUUCACCUUUGUUCUAUAGCUCUAUAUAAAUUGAAUCACAUAUUUUCUUAUGUCCAAAACUUUGUGUUUUCCUCAACCAAAAAAAAAAGAGGGGUCAAUGAAGAGCAAAUUCUUUCAUUGUUUUCGUCCCAUUGUUGAGGAUUCUGUUUUUCAUAAUCAUGCUAUUGAUCAAUCUACUUCAAGUAUUAUCACAAAAAGAAGUGAGAAAAAUGAUAUAUUGUUUGAAUCAAAAAGUAAUAGGGGAAAUAUAAGAGAUGGUGAAUCAAGGAAGCAAGAAACACAACAUAAAGAAAUUACUUCAAUUGGCACUUUAUGUGAGGGAAAUAAGUCAUCAAAAAAAUAUUCAUAUAACCAUAAAGAAUCCUCAAGUGCUUCAACAUCAUGUCAUGAUGAAAACAAGAAAUCUAGCACUAGUGUUCAUUUGAUUAUUUUCACAAUAUUUGUGACUAUUUAUUUUGGUAGAGUUUUGGCUAUAUUUUUAACAUUAUUAUGGAUUCUAUUGUUCUCCAUAAUCCCCAAGUCAAUUUUUAGAGAAUAAUUUCUUUAAUUAGUUGGAU